CAUUCUUUUCCCUCUCUCGAUUAGCUUUUCCCUUUCUCCAACUUCAAUUUUCCUUUUAAAUAACAAAAAUAAGGUUUUGCCCGUUUAAGUAUUUUUACUCCCGAUCACCGCUACCCUUUCCGAUUGAUCUGAAACCAUAACACAUGUCAGGGCUCUACCCGACUAAGUUGUUGGGAUUCUAUCUCGGAACUUCGGGACAAGGUUGAAUUAGGGUAUUAUACUUAACACGAGUGCAUUAUAUAUUUUUUUUUAUAGCUCAAAAGUUAUACCCAAAAUUUAUACCAGGAGUCCUUCUAGUUGAACUCUAAAAUUACACAGUGGGUCCAUUCCUUUUUCCCACCAUUUUAUUCACUUUUUGUAAGUUACCCAAAACUAUUAUUUAUUAUUUAUUAUUUCUAUUUUGUAAACAAACUUUCAUCAAAAGUCAUGCCUAUUAUUUUAUUUACCCAAUAGGGAACCCUAAUUGAGAAACCCAAGUGAUUCCGUAUAAACCCUAAAAUUCUCGAAACAAUCGGAAUCAGGAUCAGAACCCCUAAAACUCAAGGGGGGUAAACCUUAGCUGAUAAUUAUCUUAAAUUCUUGCUGUAGAACUUAAAUUUCGUUUAAACUGUGACUCAUCCAAGCUACUGGGACACGAACCUAACCUACCCUAAAAAGUAACCCGUCGCGCCACGCGACAGGACCAGGUUUCCCUGUCGCGACACGCGAGGGAGACCAAAUUUCAGAUAUAAAUAGGGGGCAGUGGCACUUGAAUUUUGCUGGAAGUUCGACGUUAAAACUCGAAUUAUACACUGAGUUAUAGCAUAAAUCGUUCACACACCCACUAAUAUCGAAUCGCUGCCGCGGAACAGGGUAAUUACUCCAUCGCUAUUACGAUUCAUUUUCCGGGAUCAAUAUAUCCAAAGAAUGUCUAAGUGCCGCCCACAUUGGGUUAUACUUUGUCGUUUGUCGAUAAUUCGAUAAAUGAGUUGAAGUAUUAUACUUUGUCGUUUGUCGAUAAUUCGAUAAAUGAGUUGAAGUAUUAUACUUUGUCGUUUGUCGAUAAUUCGAUAAAUGAGUUGAAGUAUUGCACUUUGUCGUUCAUUGUGAGAAUUUGAUCUCGUGAGUUAUCGUAAAAGCUGUAUUGAUCAUUAACCCGGUUUUUGUGAAAUUCGUUAAGGUUCGAAUCUCAUGACUACCGUUAAGGUUUGAUUUGGGUUUUACACCAAUACGUAUUCUAUUCUGUUAAACCACCAAAAACACUCCCAACUACACCCUGACAAUCAAACAAACUAUUAAAUCAUCAGAAGAUCCAGAAUAAUAAAGUACAUGCUUAACUAUCGGGAAAAGUAGAAUCAAGAAGUUUGUUAACUCAAUCCUGCAUGAUGAUUAGUAAUUACAAUAGAUUGGAGUAAGGAUUGGAUCCGACACUGAAGGACUUCAAGAAGUGGCUUAUUUUCAAAUUAAGAAAUAUUGUUUUUAUUAAAAGCUACCUUUGUAAAACUUGGAAUUAAUUCCAUCCAUUUAAAUAAAAUCCGGUGU
rnacentral:lncRNA from 1 species